GAUAGCUCAGUCGGUUAGAGCAUCUGACUGUUAAUCAGAGGGUCGUAGGUUCAAGUCCUACUC
rnacentral:tRNA from 1 species